rnacentral:rRNA from 1 species
CUACGGGAGGCACCAGUAAGGAAUAUUGCGCAAUGGAGGCAACUCUGACGCAGCCAUGCCGCGUGCAGGAAGAAGGCCUUAUGGGUCGUAAACUGCUUUUAUUUAGGAAUAAACCCUCGCUCGUGAGCGAGGCUGAAGGUACUGAAUGAAUAAGCACCGGCUAACUCCGUGCCAGCAGCCGCGGUAAUACGGAGGGUGCAAGCGUUAUCCGGAUUUAUUGGGUUUAAAGGGUGCGCAGGCGGGCUAUUAAGUCAGUGGCGAAAUCCCGGGGCUCAACUCCGGAACUGCCAUUGAUACUGAUAGUCUUGAGUUUGGUUGAAGUGGGCGGAAUGUAGCAUGUAGCGGUGAAAUGCAUAGAUAUGCUACAGAACACCAAUCGCGAAGGCAGCUCACUAAGCCAAAACUGACGCUCAUGCACGAAAGCGUGGGGAUCAAACAGGAUUAGAUACCCCCGUAGUC